UACGAAGGUGGCAAGCGUUACUCGGAAUUACUAGGCGUAAAGGGCAGGUAGGCGGUUUGAUAAGUCUGUUGUGGAAGCUCCCGGCUUAACUGGGAGAGGUCAACGGAAACUAUCAGGCUUGAGUGUAGGAGAGGGUACUGGAAUUCCCGGUGUAGCGGUGAAAUGCGCAGAGAUCGGGAGGAACACCAACGGCGAAAGCAGGUACCUGGACUAUUACUGACGCUCAGCUGCGAAAGCUAGGGGAGCAAACAGG
rnacentral:rRNA from 1 species